GACGAACGCUGGCGGCGCGCCUAACACAUGCAAGUCGAACGAGCGAGAGAGAGCUUGCUUUCUCGAGCGAGUGGCGAACGGGUGAGUAACGCGUGAGGAACCUGCCUCAAAGAGGGGGACAACAGUUGGAAACGACUGCUAAUACCGCAUAAGCCCACGACCCGGCAUCGGGUAGAGGAAAAAGGAGCAAUCCGCUUUGAGAUGGCCUCGCGUCCGAUUAGCUAGUUGGUGAGGUAACGGCCCACCAAGGCGACGAUCGGUAGCCGGACUGAGAGGUUGAACGGCCACAUUGGGACUGAGACACGGCCCAGACUCCUACGGGAGGCAGCAGUGGGGAAUAUUGCACAAUGGGGGAAACCCUGAUGCAGCGACGCCGCGUGGAGGAAGAAGGUCUUCGGAUUGUAAACUCCUGUUGUUGAGGAAGAUAAUGACGGUACUCAACAAGGAAGUGACGGCUAACUACGUG
rnacentral:rRNA from 1 species